UCACAUUAAGGCUGAGACUUGAUGCAUACCCGUUGUGGGGAAUUCAGUGAUCCUAUGCUGCCGAGAAAAGCCUCUAGUGAGUUCAUACACGGCCCGUACCCCAAACCGACACAGGUGAUCAGGUAGGGAAUACCAAGGCGAUCGAGAGAACUGUGGUUAAGGAACUCGGCAAAAUGCCCCCGUAACUUCGGGAGAAGGGGGACCAUGCCCGGUGAACAUCUUCACGGUGGGAGCUGGGUGUGGUCGCAGAGGCCAGAGAGAAGCGACUGUUUACUAAAAACACAGGUCCGUGCGAAGACGUAAGUCGAUGUAUACGGACUGACGCCUGCCCGGUGCUGGAAGGUUAAGAGGACCGGUUAGCCGUAAGGCGAAGCUGAGAAUUUAAGCCCCAGUAAACGGCGGUGGUAACUAUAACCAUCCUAAGGUAGCGAAAUUCCUUGUCGGGUAAGUUCCGACCUGCACGAAUGGCGUAACGACUUCUCUGCUGUCUCGACCACAGACUCGGCGAAAUUGCACUACGAGUAAAGAUGCUCGUUACGCGCGGCAGGACGAAAAGACCCCGGGACCUUUACUAUAGCUUGGUAUUGGCGUUCGAUUCGGUUUGUGUAGGAUAGGUGGGAGACUGUGAAGCAUGCACGCCAGUGUGUGUGGAGUCGUUGUUGAAAUACCACUCUGAUCGUAUUGGACGUCUAACCUCGGCCCAUGAUCUGGGUUAGGGACAGUGCCUGGUGGGUAGUUUAACUGGGGCGGUUGCCUCCUAAAGAGUAACGGAGGCGCCCAAAGGUUCCCUCAGCCUGGAUGGCAAUCAGGUGUUGAGUGCAAGUGCACAAGGGAGCUUGACUGUGAGACUGACACGUCGAGCAGGGACGAAAGUCGGGACUAGUGAUCCGGCACCGGCAAGUGGAAGCGGUGUCGCUCAACGGAUAAAAGGUACCCCGGGGAUAACAGGCUGAUCUUCCCCAAGAGUCCAUAUCGACGGGAUGGUUUGGCACCUCGAUGUCGGCUCGUCGCAUCCUGGGGCUGGAGUAGGUCCCAAGGGUUGGGCUGUUCGCCCAUUAAAGCGGCACGCGAGCUGGGUUUAGAACGUCGUGAGACAGUUCGGUCUCUAUCCGCCGCGCGCGUAAGAAACUUGAGGAAGGCUGUCCCUAGUACGAGAGGACCGGGACGGACGAACCUCUGGUGUGCCAGUUGUUCCACCAGGAGCAUGGCUGGUUAGCUACGUUCGGAAGGGAUAACCGCUGAAAGCAUCUAAGCGGGAAGCCUGUUCCAAGAUGAGGUUUCUCACCACCUUGCGUGGUUAAGGCCCCCUACAGACCAUGGGGUUGGUAGGCCGGAACUGGAAGCGCAGCAAUGCGUGGAGGUGACCGGUACUAAUAGGCCGAGGGCUAAAA
rnacentral:rRNA from 1 species